rnacentral:snRNA from 1 species
AGCUUUGCGCAGUGGCAGUAUUGUAGCCAAUGAGGUUUAUCCGAGGUGCAAUUAUUGCUAAUAAUCUUUGCUGCCUUUAUCAGAAGACCAAACUUAGAAGACUUCCACAAGA